GAUGAACGCUAGCUACAGGCUUAACACAUGCAAGUCGAGGGGCAGCAUGUCGGUUGCUUGCAACCGACGAUGGCGACCGGCGCACGGGUGAGUAACGCGUAUCCAACCUACCCUUGUCCAUCGGAUAACCCGUCGAAAGGCGGCCUAACACGAUAUGCGGUUCUCAGCAGGCAUCUAACGAGAACGAAAUGUGAAGGAGAAGGAUGGGGAUGCGUCUGAUUAGCUUGUUGGCGGGGUAACGGCCCACCAAGGCGACGAUCAGUAGGGGUUCUGAGAGGAAGGUCCCCCACAUUGGAACUGAGACACGGUCCAAACUCCUACGGGAGGCAGCAGUGAGGAAUAUUGGUCAAUGGACGGGAGUCUGAACCAGCCAAGUAGCGUGCAGGAUGACGGCCCUAUGGGUUGUAAACUGCUUUUAUAGGGGGAUAAAGUGUGUCACGUGUGGCAUAUUGCAGGUACCCUAUGAAUAAGGACCGGCUAAUUCCGUGCCAGCAGCCG
rnacentral:rRNA from 1 species